CCCAGGCCCACAGGACAGGGCAUGGUUAAGCAUGGUGGCACACAUGCUUUUAAUCCCAGCACUCAGGAGGCAAAUGUAUGUGGAUCUCUGUGAGUUCAAGGCCAGGGCCAUGGGGAAGGCAGAUGGACUAUUGCCAGGAGCACUGCCCUGGUUAGAAGACUCUUCUUGUUCUGCAGCUCCCUCCACCAGGUACCAAACCCAGAUCAUCAGGCUUGCACAGCAAGCACUUGUAGAACCAGCCCCUACCGGUUCAUCAACAGCAGCUCUAGGACGGAGAAUCUCAGAGCUGUCCAGCACAUGCGGCUACACAGACCUUCUCUCAUGAAGCUUCCCUGGCUGGACUCCAUCAACCGUUAGCAUCCUGUGCUCGAGGGUACCUUGGAGCUGCUUGGUAGGGGUCGCAGCCUGUGCUGUCACAGGAGGCCCUGCAGCAUGUGUCUUGGGAAGCUGGCAACGCUCUUUUCCUAUUGUUCCUUUUAGGGUCUGUCUCUCCCACAGUCUCGGAUCCCACUGGACGUACUAUGUCAGUAGGUAGCUAGGUGAUUCAGAUGUCUAGCAUUGUGGAGGUUGCCUCUACUGCUCCUAGAGAAGCAACAAGCAAUAUAAGUAACUGGAGCAUCGUUUCUGGCUCCAGAUCCUGGGCCAUUUGCCACAUUAGCACUGUACCCCUCCCUGCCCCUUUUAGAAACACAACAAGGGACGCUCCUCAGGCCUCUGUGGGAUGACUCCAUCUUGUCCUUCUUGACUCCCAGGUCUGGCCAGGGACCUUUUCAGUGCAUAUCGGGGACCCAGACACCCUGCCAUAGAGGAGAUCUGGGCCAGGCCAUGGGAGAGUUGGGUGUAGGCAGGAUGUCUGGCAGAGCUAUUGCUGAAGCUAGUCACUGUCCAAAGAGGGCCAGUGCCCAGGAGGGGCCUCAGCAGGGAUUGAAGCCAGGCCUGACAAGUUUGGCCUCUGUCACAAGCAUAGCAUCCAGAGACAGCACAUGGCUGCAGCUGAGUCCCCAGGGCCGGAAGGGACAGCCAGGAUAAAGUGGAGGUGCAGGGCCCUUCUUCCAUAGGGCUCCGGAUAUGCCUGUGUGCACGGAGGCAGCAGAGAGAGGCUAUGGGGAGCACCCAGCACAAGGGACUCCUGCGUGCUAUGUAGAGGGCUCUGUGGGAGCCACAGGGACAAGCUCGGCACGUGUCCUGGCCAGGCUACUUUCCCUGCUGGCCCCAAGCCACGGCCAGUUGGGGACACAGUGUGCAGAGGGAACAGGGUGUGUGUUUGCUCAGGGCGCCUGGAGCCCGGCAUGGGACAAGGGCCCAUUGUGUCCCCAACCAUCCUGGCUAGUCCGGCCCCACUUGCCCAUCCAUGGUGCUCCACCUCCAUUUCUGCCCUCUGACCCCUCACCACUGCCCACAGCACUCUCCCUUCUCAGCAUGCAUUCAUAUCACCUUGCCAACGCUAAGUAUCAGUCCACACUUAAUGCCCUGAGACCUCCUGCCUAUACCCACACCCCAUGUCCCUCUCCUUGCCACCCCCUCCCAUGAUGCCCACUGCCCUUCUACCGACACCCCCACAUGGUGACCCCACGUCCACACAGUUCAUGGCAUAUCCCCACAGCGAGUCCUCACAUCCUUACACUUCCUGAUGCCCACUCCAGGCUCAUGCAGGUCCAUCCACAAGCACAAACUCAUUAUCUCUGUAGACCCAGUCUCCCUCAGGGUGACUUGGUGAUCCUGGACAAGAUCCCACUGGCCCUAAAGAACAGAGAAGCCAGGCUGCUGGGAAUCUGGUCUGGGGAACAUCAGGUUGGUAACUGAGUAUCCAAUCAGCUACCCCACAGCUAAGGAAUGAACUACCAGUGGCCAGCUGGGGGUCGCCUGAGGUUGCUGUCCUGCCAGCACACACACAAGGGCUGUGACAGCCUCCUCCUAGACCCAAUGGACUGCACUCAGUGAGGCAGAGCCCAGCUGGCAACCCGUGUCUGCAGAGGCCCCUCAUAAGGUAGGUUGGGAAAUGGUUGGCGAGUGGCUAGACUUCCUAGCCUCACUGCUAGCCCAGCUACGUUUGCAGGGGGAUUGGGAGGAGGUUGUCUCCAUACUCCUCCACGAUGCAGAUAUCCUUACUCAGCUGCAAAGUGUCUCCUCAUGCCAAGCCGCACAGAACCCUCGGGUUAAGCAGCGCUGUCUAGCUCACCAGUAAGAUAAUUAAACAGAGGCUGAGCACCACAAGGGCAUGGGCUGGGGGCUGGGGCCUGACGGACAUAGGGAGUCAAUGUGCUUGCAGUGUGGGUCCCUAUUCCAAUGUGAAUUUUACAGAGGUUAAGGGCUGAUGGUGCAGAACCGGUCUGACUGGUGCAGCUGCACUGUGUGUGUGUGUGUGUGUGUGUGUGUGUGUGUGUGUGUGUGUGUGUGUGUGUUUGCUUGCUCGCUCGCUCGCUCACGUGGAUGUGUGCACUGGGACCCAGCCAGGAGGAGGCAGGCAGGUCAGAGGCCUGUGCGUCAUGGGUAUUACCUACAUCAGGUAGCCACCUGCUGGGGGUGUUGGCUCAGCUGGGAGUGGCAGAACAGGUAGAGUUGAGCCUUGGAGGCUAAGAUAGAGGGAGAGGAAUAGGUGGGCUGGACAGCACCCAAAGGCACACUCCACCCAUCUUCAUAGGUCAGAAGCACAAAGGACAUGGCAAAGCUAGGAAAAGCCAACCUCACUGGGAGGCCGGACCUGGACCGGGUCCCCAGGUGUUGAAAGACUUCAGUCUCUAGCCCCAUCUCAGCCUGUGCUCGUCCUAACCUCAGUCCCUGAGCAGCCGGCCAACACUCCAAGCCCUUGAGCUAGCUACAGCAGGGCUGCUCUGACAGCCGCACUGCUUCUCAUUCCUUUGACCCCACCGGCCAGGUUGGCUUCAUUCUGGCUUUGCCUAGGAGCCCCUUAGUGGCUCCACAUUGGCUUGGACAGUCACUAAAUUUCCUCAGCCAAACAAGAUUUCAGAAGAAAAGAUCUGGCUGAGGUCCCCUCGCCCCUACCAAACCAUCCCAUCCAGUCUGUCCCAAGCUUCUGGGUACUCUUACCGGAUCAAUGGCAGCACCUGGCACAGGGACCUGUGAGGGUCAGGGCUCCUGCUCCCCCACCACAGCUUCUGUGGGCCUAGUUCUAAGUCCAAAUAUGACUAUACACCCAGGCCCCCUUAUGGCCACCGUGGGGCCAGCCACUUUGCUUUCUCAAGCCUCAGUUUCCCUACCUAUAAACAAUAAUCAGGAAGAUGUCAAGGUGGAGCAGAACCUGUCUACAGGUCCUGAAUAUGGGAGCGCUGCUGACCAUUGCUCUCUCCUGCCAGCUAGCCUAUUCCCUUGACAGUCUGCCAAGGCCUAGACGACCCUACCAAGACCUGAGCCAACUCCUGUAGCCUCCAGGCCAUUCCAGUACAGUAUCUCUGGCCGGAGGAGCUUACUGAGUUGGGCUUUAAGACAAAGCCCUGGCCAAGGUCCUAGGACAUGUGGGAGCAUCGAACUGGGUCCUGGAGGUGAAAGGUAGUUCUGUAUGCUGGGAAGAGCCAAGAUGCCGGAACAGCUCAGGAUCUGCUUAUAGACACUAAAGGUUUCCUCUCAAGUCCUACCAUGUGGCUGGAGCUCUCAGCAAACCCAUUCUACAGCUGGGAACUGAGGCCCAAUCUCUGCCUUUCCUCCUCGGGCAACAGGGAUUCAGUGAGCAGGAGUCUCACAUGGUCAGAAACCUCCAGAGACAGAUAACGCCGAGGAGGACCCUUGCUUGCAGAGCAGUAGCGGACCUCUGGGCUCGGGCUACAGGUGUAUCAGGUGAGGGCCUACACGGCAGGCCCGAUGGCACCAAGUGGAUGGUGCUUUUGCUGCUGUCCUUGGGCCAGCCUCCAUCUGGGGUCCCAGAUCAGUCAACUUGUUCUCCUGGGCGGGUUACCAGGGCCGGGUCGAAACCCUAAAGCUGAGUGCGUCCCAGAAACUACGAGUCAGCGGCUCCCCUCCCACAGCCAUCAGGGAGGCUAAAGCCACUCUGGGAACACCCAGGCAAGGGUGUGACUGAGACCGGGACCUGAAGAAAGAAAAGACAGGAGCAGGUCAGGGACCAACAGUGAUCUCCUUUGCACGCAUUGCCUGGGGUUCACCAGCCUUCUCCUUGGAUUCUGGACUUGUCGUACCUGCUUAGGUUGUUAGUUCUUUCCCCCAAGGGACUAGAAAGCUGGUCCCCUGCUCUGGGCAUCUCCUACCCCCAGUUAAACCACUGGCCACCAUUACUUAAUAGAUGUAUGCCUGUGCUCAGAUGGGGACCUGGGGUUAGCAACAGUGGCUGGCUGGACUUCAAGGGCAAUGGUCGAGAGACUUCAUGCCCUGGCCCCACUAGAUCCUAAGGAACGCUGAUCUCUCUUCUCUUUCUUGCACAACUGCGGGCCUGAACCUGGCCGGGGAACUCAGAGUCAUAACUUUGUCCCCAAAUCUUUGAAAAGGACUAGAUUACAGACUUAUGGGUGACAUCAGCACUCUAGCUUGGUGCUGACUAAAAGGCUUAGCGGGUUAUCUGCUCAUCCCUUUCCUCCCCCCAGCUUCAGCCCCCACCCCAUCAGCUUUCGUCCCCACCCCUUUCCCCUCUCGUUCCUCUACUGGACUGCAGGCCUGGCUGGGGCUGACCUUUCCCUAGCCCAAGGACAGCAGGAUGUGCUCAGAAAAGGAGGUGUGUUCAGAGGGCAGGAUGGUCAGGUGUGAGGCAGGGAGCCUGCGUAGGCUUGGUAUGGUCAGCCAGCACCGGCUCCUAGGUACCCCCAACAUAGCUUUGCAGCUUAGUCCCAGGAAGCCAAGCAGGGUGGUGUGUAGACAGUGGGAGUGACUGCUUAGGCCUGGGAGGCCAAUGCUGACACAGGCCAAUGGACUGAGGACAGAGGGUCUUCUAGUGCCAGACUGUGGCCUGGCACCUACAGCCCCAAGGAGCCAAUGUUAACUCAAUAACCACGGAUGUCAGGAGAGACGGUAGGAGCUGGAGGGGAUUCCAGUGGAGAAGGGCUUGAGGCCUGUAGGCUGCUAAAGCUACUUAAGUAGGGUGG
ensembl:lncRNA